AUUGAACGCUGGCGGCAUGCCUUACACAUGCAAGUCGAACGGCAGCACGGGAGCAAUCCUGGUGGCGAGUGGCGAACGGGUGAGUAAAGUAUCGGAACGUGCCCAGUCGUGGGGGAUCACGUAGCGAAAGUUACGCUAAUACCGCAUACGAUCUAUGGAUGAAAGCGGGGGAUCGCAAGACCUCGCGCGAUUGGAGCGGCCGAUAUCAGAUUAGGUAGUUGGUGGGGUAAAGGCUCACCAAGCCGACGAUCUGUAGCUGGUCUGAGAGGACGACCAGCCACACUGGGACUGAGACACGGCCCAGACUCCUACGGGAGGCAGCAGUGGGGAAUUUUGGACAAUGGGCGCAAGCCUGAUCCAGCCAUGCCGCGUGCAGGAUGAAGGCCUUCGGGUUGUAAACUGCUUUUGUACGGAACGAAAAGGUUUGGCUUAAUACGCUGAACUCGUGACGGUACCGUAAGAAUAAGCACCGGCUAACUACGUGCCAGCCGCCGCAGUAA
rnacentral:rRNA from 1 species